rnacentral:rRNA from 1 species
AAUGGCUGCAGUAAUUUGACUGUACAAAGGUAGCAUAAUCAUUAGUUUUUUAAUUAAAAGCUUGUAUGAAAGGUUGGACGAAGAAAAAUCUGUCUCUUUUUAAUAUAAUUAGAAUUUAAUUUUUAAGUCAAAAAGCUUAAAUUUUUAUUAAAGACGAGAAGACCCUAUAGAGUUUAAUAAUUUAUUUAUAGUAAUUAAUUUAGAUUAUUUAAUUUUAUUAUAAUUUAAUUAUUUUAUUGGGGUAAUAAAAAGAUUUAUGAAAUUCUUUUUUUUUUUUUACAUAAAUUUAUGAAAGUUUGAUCCAUUAUUAAUGAUUAUAAGAUUAAAUUACCUUAGGGAUAACAGCGUAAUUUUUUUGGAGAGUUCUUAUCGAUAAAAAAGUUUGCGACCUCGAUGUUGGAUUAAAGAUUAAUUUAGGUGUAGAAGUUUAAAUUUUUGGUCUGUUCGACCAUUAAAUCUUUACAUGAUCUGAGUUCAAACCGGUGUGAGCCAGGUUGGUUUCUAUCUUUAUAAAAUUUUUAUAUUUUAGUACGAAAGGACCAAAUAUAAUAUAUAUUAAUAUUUAAAUUUUGAAUAU